rnacentral:rRNA from 1 species
UACGGGGGGGGCAAGCGUUGUUCGGAAUUACGGGGCGUAAAGGGCUCGUAGGCGGCCAGCUAAGUCCGACGUGAAAUCCCCAGGCUUAACCUGGGAACUGCGUCGGAUACUGGAUGGCUUGAAUCCGGGAGAGGGAUGCAGAAUUCCAGGUGUAGCGGUGAAAUGCGUAGAUAUGCGGAGGAACACCGAUGGCGAAGGCAAUCCCCUGGACCUGUACUGACGCUCAUGCACGAAAGCGUGGGGAGCAAACAGG